AUCAACAACUAACUAUAUUGAAAGAACAACAAGGGCAAUAAAUGCCUUUUUAGUGACUCAGCUAAAAUACGCAUGUCGAAGGGAUCCCCACCAUGCAGUCAGGAAUAAGCCAAAUUUUAUAAAAAACUAUCCCAUUUCUCGUUGAAAUAUCAUCAACGAGAUUAUGGUAUCAGACACAACGAUGCAUUUAAUGACAUCAUUGAUCAUGACAUAAUGUAAAACCUAUGGAUCUUUUGUUUUAACAUAAGCACUAUUUUAAACAUUUCAAUAAUUUUAAGCUUUUAAUUGUACGGCUACAAAAGCGUGUUACGAAAUGCCAGCCAUAAGGUUUAAGACGAAAUUAGUUUUUCCGAGGCUUGCCACGAAAGAUUUCGCAACAUGCUACGGACAAAAUAUGAAACAAUCCCUGGAACAAUGAUUGAUCAUCGGGAGGAAAGCCAGCAAGACACCAGCGGGAAUAUGACAAUGUGACUAAGAUAUGAACGAUGACAAUGUUUUUAUAGCAAUGUGAUUUUGAUAUGACGAAAGUAUAUUUGUGUCUUACAUAGAUCUUCUACCCCACCCAUGGAAGCAAUUUUAAUAACAAUACGUCUGAAACUAAGUCAAUAAUUACGUCUGUGUGCAGAGAAUAUAGGGCGCAAUUCCAUUGUGGCAACAGGAUCGUAUCUUCAAGCAAGCACGAAAUCUUACAGUUGUUUGAAAUAAGCCAAUUUACGAAUAUACGAAUAGUCCAUACAACACUUUAUAAACAUAUAAAAAAACAUGAAACAUGUCCGAUGCUUUUCACUUAAAGUAAACAUCGUUGUCAAAGAGGAAGAUAGACGAACAAUAUGAAAAUGUCAGCAACUAUAUUUUUGCAAAAAACUCUUGGUGAUUUAAAGUUCAACAUAGAAACAAUGACGAUCCUUUUACAUUUUGUGCUAAAUAAAAAUCACUCCCGCAGAGCCGUUCAACUUUUGCCUUCGUCAACAAGUCGAUACAACUGUCGACAUUUUUUCCACAUUUUUCAGCGCUCGUUCGUCUAUCAGCGACAUUUCAUAGCGAAAUACGCGCGCGCUGCCCCACGUACAGAAAAUCAACAACGAAAUCAUCAAAACUUAAUUAAGGCCGAAUGUUUCUAUCCAAGUUGGGCAAUGCAGUGAACGUAUGUCAACAAGAGGUGAGGCAAAGACCAACAGACCUUGUGACAGAAAUCAUACAAAGAAGGUUGCUGAAAGCUAUUGUUCCUAAGAAUAUGCUGACAACAUUUAAAUUUGUCUUUGCCAACAUUAUGAUCAUGAAAUAUUCACGUGAUUUCAACGGUUGACACUCCAUGUCAAAUAUCCAGACAGUGUGAACAAUUGACCAAUAAUUAUAUCACAAUUUUAAAAAAAUAUGUCUAGCCAAUAAAUCAUCUACUCUCAAAGAGUCUUUA